AAAUAAUAAAUAAAUUAGAUCACAAAUGUUAAGAACAACUAAACAACCCUAGAACACCUUCUUCUUCCCCACCUAAAUCGUUUGCAGCCGUUGUUGCGAUCUCUUCACUACACUUGUUAGCCUUAAUCAAUUUCCUAAAUUCAUAGUUGGAUAGAGUAUUUUUUCUAGAAAACAAUUUAAAAGCUUAAGUAGAUUCAUGUACAAAAGAUCAGAAAGUGAACAUAUUGCAUUUACUUGAGUCUUGAUAAGCAAAGCUAAAAUAGCUUUUGAGCACUUUAUUCAGUCCGUUGGCAAAGCUUGCAGAAAGGCGAGUCAACUUCUAAUCGGAGGAAGUGUUGAAGAGUUGUUUGAUAAGCUUCUUGUCCCUUUUCUCCAUACCCACAUCCCACAUAUUAUUACCGACACGCUUUGGGGGCCACGAGUGGCUUUGUGAAUGUGAUAUUGAGCAAUUCCUGCAAUUGAUGGCAUUUUUGCUAUGAUGACAAGGGCAAUAAUCCUUCAAAUAUUAUCCACGACAUGAUUUGGGUUUUUGAAAUUUUGAUUUGGUUUUGUUUUGUAGUUUUAUCUUUUUUCUUGGGUUCAAUUUGGGUAUUUGGGAUAGCAAGAACGCACAAGCAGUUGUUUAGUUUAAAUGAUAAAUUUAACUCUUUGAUGUCAACAGUAUUCUAAUGAGGUUAUGACAAGAGUGGAACAAUGAUAACUUUUCAUAUCGAUUCUUGUCAGAAAAAAAUAAUAAUAAUUUUAAUAAAAUGUGAAAAAUCAAGUAGUCGGUAAAUAAUUUUCCUUCUAUUAAUUUGUAAUUAUUUUGAAUGAUGCGAACGAAAGGGCAUUCGCAAUCUUCAAUUAUUCCAUAUUUUUGUACUUAGUUAAAAAGCUAUCAAGUACAAAGACUGCGUAUAGUUUUAUUGUUUUGUCAUGUUCAUAUCUUAAAAGGUAUUCAAAAUGUCAGGAAACAAUAGAUUUGAAGGUAAUCUCUCCUGGGCAGUUAACUCGCCCAUUCCUAAAAGAGUGAACGUAUUUGCACCCCUUGAUUAUCCUUAUAAAAUCCCACUUUAGAUAAAAUUACAUUUAAAGAUAAAUAAAAAUUAAACACAUUUAUAAAUUUGUUGAGCGAAUUACUUUUAUUUAUAAUCAAUCCAUUUUUUUCCCUUUUUAUUUUCUACAUCACUUCCUUCUUGUAAAAUAGAUUGUAAAAAUUUAGUAAUACUCUAUUGUUCUUUUCCUACUUUUUACUGA
rnacentral:lncRNA from 1 species